rnacentral:lncRNA from 1 species
GCAGGAGACAAGAGUGGCCGAGGGACCAGCCACAGGAGAUUGGCCAGUUGAGGGACUGGCAGACGGCUUGAGGGGAACUUUCAUAUAAAAAGAAAAUUGUAGCCGCCCAUGGAUCCAGACGUGAUGCAGUUUCAGAGGGUGGACUGGCUCAGAGGUCUUGCUAAGCUGAUGUGAGCAAGGACUUGAAGGUCACAGCGUAGCCAGUCCCACAGGUGAAGGCAAGUGCGGGAAUGUUGUGGGACACUCCAGAUGAAUACAGCUAGAACAAGCUAGAACAGGCUUAUUAAGGUCAAGACCUGGGGAGCUCCUAGCAAAGACAAGCAUUGUGGAGCGUGCGCUUUGCCUUUCAUCCGCCGUGAAAGGGCUGCUGGACAGUUGUGAGCAGAAGAUUCGGAAUGUGACACACUUAAAGAUCACUCUGGCUGUCGUGUCAAGGACAGACCAGGGAAGAGGCGUGAAGCCACCACUGCUAGAGCAAGAUGAGGGCGUUUUCUGUGGCCUUCUAAGGGAAAGGGGCAUCUGGCCAGGACGGCCUGAGAGAAGAUGCAAAGUGUUGGAUUCUGGUUGCCUUUUAAAAGCAGGACCAGCGUAGGAUAAAGAAGAAAAGGAGAGACUUGGGAUUGCUAGA